rnacentral:rRNA from 1 species
CCUACGGGAGGCAGCAGUGAGGAAUAUUGGUCAAUGGACGAGAGUCUGAACCAGCCAAGUAGCGUGAAGGAUGACUGCCCUAUGGGUUGUAAACUUCUUUUAUAUGGGAAUAAAAUGUUCCACGUGUGGGAUUUUGUAUGUACCAUAUGAAUAAGGAUCGGCUAACUCCGUGCCAGCAGCCGCGGUAAUACGGAGGAUCCGAGCGUUAUCCGGAUUUAUUGGGGUUAAAGGGAGCGUAGGUGGAUUGUUAAGUCAGUUGUGAAAGUUUGCGGCUCAACCGUAAAAUUGCAGUUGAAACUGGCAGUCUUGAGUACAGUAGAGGUGGGCGGAAUUCGUGGUGUAGCGGUGAAAUGCUUAGAUAUCACGAAGAACUCCGAGUGCGAAGGCAGUUCACUGGACUGCAACUGACACUGAGGCUCGAAAGUGUGGGUAUCAAACAGGAUUAGAUACCCUAGUAGUC